AUUGAACGCUGGCGGCAGGCCUAACACAUGCAAGUCGAGCGGAGCGGCGGACGGGUGAGUAAUACCUAGGAAUCUGCCUGGUAGUGGGGGAUAACGUUCGGAAACGGACGCUAAUACCGCAUACUAUCAGAUGAGCCUAGGUCGGAUUAGCUAGUGGGUGAGGUAAUGGCUAAACAAGGCUACGAUCCGUAACUGGGCUGAGAGGAGGAUCAGUAACACUGGAACUGAGAAACGGUCCAGACGCCGACGGGAGGCAGAAUGGGGGAAUAUUGGACAAUGGGCGAAAGCCGGAUCCAGCCAUGCCGCGUGGGUGAAGAAGGUCUUCGGAUUGUAAAGCACUUUAAGUGGGGAGGCGUUACCGACAGAAUAAGCACCGGCUAACUCUGUGCCAGCAGCCGCGGUAAUUC
rnacentral:rRNA from 1 species